GUCAUCUGGAGAUCUUGUUAAAAUACAGAUUCUGGUUCAGUAGGUUGGGGUGGGAUCUGAGAUUUUGCAUUUCUAACUAGCUCCCAGAUGAUGCCAA
rfam:Pongo abelii chromosome 2b.